rnacentral:rRNA from 1 species
GUGGGGAAUCUUCCGCAAUGGACGAAAGUCUGACGGAGCAACGCCGCAUGAGUGAAGAAGGUUUUCGGAUCGUAAAGCUCUUUCGUUAGGGACGAACGUGCUCUUUGUGAAUAAUGAGGAGUAAUGACGGUACCUAAAUAAGAAGCCACGGCUAACUACGUGCCAGCAGCCGCGGUAAUACGUAGGUGGCAAGCGUUGUCCGGAAUUAUUGGGCGUAAAGCGCGCGCAGGCGGGAUAUCAAGUCUGUCUUAAAAGUGCGAGGCUCAACCUCGUGAGGGGACAGAAACUGGUAUUCUUGAGUGUCGGAGAGGAAAGUGGAAUUCCAAGUGUAGCGGUGAAAUGCGUAGAGAUUUGGAAGAACACCAGUGGCGAAGGCGACUUUCUGGACGAUGUCUGACGCUGAGGCGCGAAAGCUAGGGGAGCGAACGGGAUUAGAAACCCGGGUAGUCC